rnacentral:rRNA from 1 species
CGAACGGGUGAGUAAUAUAUCGGAACGUGCCCAGUAGUGGGGGAUAGCCCGGCGAAAGCCGGAUUAAUACCGCAUACGACCUACGGGUGAAAGCGGGGGAUCGCAAGACCUCGCGCUAUUGGAGCGGCCGAUAUCAGAUUAGCUAGUUGGUGGGGUAAAAGCCUACCAAGGCGACGAUCUGUAGCUGGUCUGAGAGGACGACCAGCCACACUGGGACUGAGACACGGCCCAG